UGCCACAGACGAAGGGUAAGCGUUGUUUGGCAGAAGAGUUUUCUCUGUUGCAGAACAUAGAGGAUUUGCCAAAAUUAUCGUCAUCAAAUGAAAAGGCUCCAGUAGCUUUAUUGCAAUUUGUUUGGCAAUAGCCUCUAUGUUCUUUGAAUGUAAAAACUCUUCUCUUAAACAAUGCCCACCCUUCAUCUCUGGACA
rnacentral:pre_miRNA from 1 species